rnacentral:rRNA from 1 species
GACGGAGGGUGCUAGCGUUGUUCGGAAUCACUGGGCGUAAAGGGCGCGUAGGCGGCUGGGACAGUCGGCUGUGAAAGCCCGGGGCUCAACCCCGGAGGUGCAGCCGAGACUGCCCGGCUGGAGGCCGGAAGAGGAGGGUGGAAUACCCAGUGUAGAGGUGAAAUUCGUAGAGAUUGGGGGGAACACCGGUGGCGAAAGCGGCUCUCUGGUCCGGUCCUGACGCUGAGGCGCGAAAGAGUGGGGAGCAAACAGG